GGAGAGGUAUCGAAGUGGUCAUAACGGGGCGGACUCGAAAUCAGUUUGCGGGCAACCGCACAGGGGUUCGAAUCCCCUCCUCUCCGCCA
rnacentral:tRNA from 1 species